NNNCCGGUUGAUCCUGCCGGACCCGACCGCUAUCGGGGUAGGGCUAAGCCAUGCGAGUGGUCGCGCCGGGGGGCCCGGGAGCGGCGCACGGCUCAGUAACACGUGCCUAACCUAACCUCGGGAGGGGGACACCCCCGGGAAACUGGGGUCAAUCCCCCAUAGGGGAAGGGCGCUGGAAGGCCCCUUCCCCGAAAGGGAUCGGCCGAUCCGCCGCCGUCCGCCCGAGGGUGGGGGCACGGCCCAUCAGGUAGUUGGCGGGUUAAAGGCCCGCCAAGCCGAAGACGGGUAGGGGCGGUGAGAGCCGCGAGCCCCGAGAUCGGCACUGAGACAAGGGCCGAGGCCCUACGGGGUGCAGCAGGCGCGAAUACUCCGCAAAUGGGGGAAGGCCGGCUCCUCAUGACGGAGGAAUUUAACCUAAAUGAAGUCAAAUAUUCGAAAUUUGACAAGAAACGUAACAUCAGAGUGCCGGACAAGCCAACAGAACUUCUAGCAGAGGAGAUAGCAAUACACUUAGGAGACGGCUACCUUUUUUACGACGAAGAGGAUAAUAGCUAUAGAUACGGCGUUGGGCUUAAUCCAAAAACCGAGGUUGAAUACGCAUACGCCGUAGCGGAGUUAAUAGGGGAAGUAUAUGGUUAUAAACCUCCGGUAAGAAAGGCGCGUAUUGAGAUAAUGUCCCUAGCGAUAGGGACGUUUAAACACAAAGUGCUCGGUUUUCCUAUAGGCACCAGGACGGGAAACGAGAAGAUGCCUCGGAUAGGUUGGAUAUUACAAGAUGAGAAAUUCGCCACGGCGAUCAUAAGAGGGCUUUUAGAUACCGAAGGAUCGGUGAAAAAGAUAUCUAGGACUUUGGGGAUUGUUGUGAAGCAGAGAAACAAGGAUAUCGCUAUGUUCUACGCCCAGUGUAUUUCUCUAUUGGGUUUCACUCCACGAAUAUACCAAUGGAACGAAAAGAACAAGCCUAUCUACGCCGUCGUGGUACUGGGCAAGGAUGUGGUAGAAGACUUCCUCCGGACUAUAAAACCCAGAAAUCCCUCUAAGACCCCCUCUUUUUAGUCUUCCUCUCACGCCGGCCUCCUCCAGCGGAAUGCGGGCAACCGCGACGGGGCUACCCCGANNNNNGGGCGAAGAGCCCCGGCUUUUNCCCGGUCUAAAACGCCGGGCGAAUAAGCGGGGGGCAAGUCUGGUGUCAGCCGCCGCGGUAAUACCAGCUCCGCGAGUGGUCGGGGUGUUUACUGGGCUUAAAGCGCCCGUAGCCGGCCCGNNAAGUCGCUCCUGAAAUCCCCGGGCUCAACCCGGGGGCGGGGGGCGAUACUGCCGGGCUAGGGGGCGGGAGAGGCCGCCGGUACUCCGGGGGUAGGGGCGAAAUCCGUUAAUCCCCGGAGGACCACCAGUGGCGAAAGCGGGCGGCCAGAACGCGCCCGACGGUGAGGGGCGAAAGCCGGGGGAGCAAAGGGGAUUAGAUACCCCUGUAGUCCCGGCCGUAAACGAUGCGGGCUAGCUGUCGGUCGGGCUUAGGGCCCGGCCGGUGGCGAAGGGAAACCGUUAAGCCCGCCGCCUGGGGAGUACGGCCGCAAGGCUGAAACUUAAAGGAAUUGGCGGGGGGGCACCACAAGGGGUGAAGCUUGCGGCUUAAUUGGAGUCAACGCCGGAAACCUCACCCGGGGCGACAGCAGGAUGAAGGCCAGGCUAACGACCUUGCCGGACGAGCUGAGAGGAGGUGCAUGGCCGUCGUCAGCUCGUGCCGUGAGGUGUCCGGUUAAGUCCGGCAACGAGCGAGACCCCCGCCCCUAGUUGCUACCCCGUCCUUCGGGACGGGGGGCACACUAGGGGGACUGCCGGCGUAAGCCGGAGGAAGGAGGGGGCCACGGCAGGUCAGUAUGCCCCGAAACCCCGGGGCUGCACGCGAGCUGCAAUGGCGGGGACAGCGGGAUCCGACCCCGAAAGGGGGAGGCAAUCCCGUAAACCCCGCCCCAGUAGGGAUCGAGGGUUGCAACUCGCCCUCGUGAACGUGGAAUCCCUAGUAACCGCGUGUCACCAACGCGCGGUGAAUACGUCCCUGCCCCUUGCACACACCGCCCGUCGCACCACCCGAGGGAGCCCUCUGCGAGGCCCCUCGCCGAAGAGGUGGGGGGACGAGCAGGGGGCUCCCAAGGGGGGUGAAGUCGUAACAAGGUAGCCGUAGGGGAACCUGCGGCUGGAUCACCUNN
rnacentral:rRNA from 1 species